rnacentral:rRNA from 1 species
GACGAACGCUGGCGGCGUGCCUAAUACAUGCAAGUAGGACGCAGUUGCGAACGGAUGAGUAACGCGUAGGUAACUGCCUAUUAGAGGGGGAUAACUAUUGGAAACGAUAGCUAAUACCGCAUACUAGUAGAUGGACCUGCGUUGUAUUAGCUAGUAGGUGGGGUAAUGGCCUACCUAGGCGACGAUACAUAGCCGACCUGAGAGGGUGAGCGGCCACACUGGAACUGAGACACGGCCCAGACUCCUACGGGAGGCAGCAGUAGGGAAUAUUCGGCAAUGGGGGGAAGCCUGACGGAGCAACGCCGCGGGAGUGAAGAAGGUUUUCGGGUCGUAAAGCUCUGUUGUUGAGGAAGCGGUACUUAACCAGAAAGAGAGGGCUAACUACGUGCCAGCGGCGGCGGUAAUA